rnacentral:lncRNA from 1 species
CUAACCAGCAGGCUUCCAGGAGCGCCCAAGUCUCUUUCUAGCAAGCCUCUAGGGGCAGAGGUGGGUGGGACAGCAGCCUCUAACUGGUAAGACACAACUCCUGCUAACUCCUGGGCCUACUCUGGGCCUCAGCUUCUCUAACUGGGCUCUCCUGUAAUAAGUGUAGUGAGGUUCCAUGGCUGCAAGUGAGUGCAUAGCCCUGGCAUACUCAACAAGCUCCUGAAGCCACGCAGGAGACGGGCUUCAAAAGGAGACACUCCCUGUUUGGAAUGAGUGCGUUCUUCUACACAUGAAGUUCCCUGUGACCUAAGCAGCGUUUCAGACGCGUCUAGACACUUCAAGAACCCCUGGGAGCCUAGCGCCAGAUCCAGCACACACACGGGCUUAGGCAGACGUGGCUCCACGGGCACUUUUCUCUGAGAGGCAGGGGAAGUGCACUCCCCGUCUUCUCUGGGUGAUGAAGACAAAGAAACUCUGGACCACCCGCUGCCUCAACAACCUCAGAGAUUCUGACUCUAAAGAGCCCCCCUCCUGUAAGUCCUCCAGCGGCCACAGCCGGUUACGAGCACCCACAGGCGGCUGUCACCAAAAGGCUGGAGUGCAGUGGCAUGAUCUCGGCUCACUGCAAGCUCCGCCUCCCGGGUUCCCGCCAUUCUCCUGCCUCAGCCUCCCGAGUAGCUGGGACUACAGAUCUCAUCAGAUGGCAAAACCAGAUGCUUCCCCAGAUGCCGUUCCGCAAGAUGGAGCUCUCUGGAGUGCUGGUUACUUCUGCGCCCAAGCCAGUGGGCUGUCUCUCCUGGAUGCCAAAUUAGGGAAGCACUCCCUGAUUAGUAUCCACGUGACCUGUGUUUCUCAGAAAUGCUAAGAACAUUCACUGUUUGGAUGAAGAACACAAUAUUUUUUUUUCUUUCACAUGCACUGGAUGACUUCACCGUGUUUACUGUCUUUGGUUUUGUUCCAAAGUGGUUGUAAAAGUUGGGCCUGAGAUGUGCAAACAUCAUUCUUGGUUGCUGUUUGUGCGCCUGGCUGAGUCCAAGUCCUUACAGGCAGUCCCUCCUGCCUCCCGUGUAUCCCUCACUCCCACCUCCCCCAACACCUAACUCUUCCUCCUUUCCCAAGGGCUCCCUCCCACCUCCCCCUCCUUUUCUCCACCUCCCCUGCCUCCCACCUCCUCUUCCCAUUCCACCCAUCUCUUGUCUCCUUCCUUCCACACGGCUCCUC